GAUGAACGCUGGCGGCGUGCUUAACACAUGCAAGUCGAACGGAACUCCUAUGAUUGAGGUUUCGGCCAAAAGAAUAGGACGUUUAGUGGCGGACGGGUGAGUAACGCGUGAGUAACCUGCCUUGGAGUGGGGAAUAACACAGUGAAAACUGUGCUAAUACCGCAUAAUGCAUUUGGGUCGCAUGAUUCUGAAUGCCAAAGAUUUAUCGCUAUGAGAUGGACUCGCGUCUGAUUAGCUAGUUGGCGGGGUAACGGCCCACCAAGGCGACGAUCAGUAGCCGGACUGAGAGGCUGGCCGGCCACAUUGGGACUGAGACACGGCCCAGACUCCUACGGGAGGCAGCAGUGGGGAAUAUUGGGCAAUGGGCGCAAGCCUGACCCAGCAACGCCGCGUGAAGGAAGAAGGCUUUCGGGUUGUAAACUUCUUUUGUCAGGGACGAAGCAAGUGACGGUACCUGACGAAUAAGCCACGGCUAACUACGUGCCAGCCGCCGCAGUAACAC
rnacentral:rRNA from 1 species